rnacentral:sRNA from 1 species
GAGGACGGGCAGGAGGGGGCUUUUCACGGGUCCCUGAAUUGGCGGGUUUUACUCACUCUGGGCAAACUGGACAUUUCUGCCACCGUGUGCCCUUGUCUCGUGGUAACCGGCAUCCUUCAGCCUGUCCCCCUGGCUUCCACGGGGCUGGCUGCCAGGGGGUGUGCCGGUGUCAACAUGGAGCCCCCUGCGACCCCAUCAGUGGCCGAUGCCUCUGCCCUGCUGGCCUCCACGGCCACUUCUGUGAGAGGGGGUGUGAGCCAGGUUCAUUUGGAGAGGGCUGCCACCAGCGCUGUGACUGCGACGGGGGGGCACCCUGUGACCCUGUCACCGGUCUCUGCCUUUGCCCACCAGGGCGCUCGGGAGCCACCUGUAACCUGGAUUGCAGAAGGGGCCAGUUUGGGCCUAGCUGCACCCUGCA